rnacentral:lncRNA from 1 species
UUUUUUUUCUUUUUUCUCUUUUGACAUUUUCUCGCAAUCAAACUAGAUUAAAACCAAAAAAGUGGUGUUAGGUAUGCGGAAAUUCUGAUACUAAUUUGUUGGAGUAAUAGAGUUAAAAGGGAGACACAAUUAUAAAAUGAGAUAAAAUUUGGGAGAAUUAAAUUAUACUUCACCACUCUCUCCUAUUCAAAUAUCAUAUAAUCUCUUAUUUAUAGAUACUUACAUUUAACAAAAUAGAAAUUUUCUAAUUUGACAACUCAAAAAUAAAAACUGAAAUAAUGAGCCAAAAUAAAACAUUUCUCCCUUGACUUUUAGAGACUAAAUUUAAUUAUAAUAUUUUUAAAAUUUUUGGAUCAAGUUUAAAUUUCCAACUUGUCUCCUAAACUUGAUCCGUGACUUCAAGUAGUAUCAUCAACCUUCUAAAAUCUCCAAAAUUGUAAAGGUUGGUAAAAAUAUCAGCAAUUUAAUCUUGAGAUUUUGAAAAUUUUAAUUGCACUUCCUUCUUCAAAUGUGUUCUCUAAUCAAAAGAAGAUGGACGAAUAAUUUGAUUUUCACAAUAUUUUUUAAAUUCUUUUGAUGUGAAUUCACCUUUUUCUAUCGAUCUCAUUGCCUUUAUAUCAUGGACACUUACCUUUUAAAUAAGUCCUUUAAAUUUCUUGAAAACACUAAAUACUCAUAUUUUUCCUUCAAAAAAUGCACCCAAAUUUUUCUACUAAAAUCAUCAAGUAAAAAAUAUUUAUUCUUGCUAAAUAUUUAUUUUUUAAUCACACAAACAUCAUUUAAACUCUCACUAAUUCUUUUUAAUAAAAUUCAUAAUAGUCAAUACUCUAGAAAAAUAAUCAAAAGACUGAUUCCAAUUCUUUCAUAUUCAAAUUUUCAAAUUCUCUUUCAAGAGUUUGAAGACGAACUUUUCUUACCUUAUCAAUUCCCUUUUGUGUAUUUUGUAAUAUAUCUCAUACUUCCAUGGAGGUGGUUGCAUUUGAAAUAUUCUCAAAAGUACCUUCAUCCAUUAGAUGAUGGUGAGAACUUUCUUGUUUCGCUACCUCAUAUCUUUCAAAAAAUCCCUUUGAUUUAGGGUCAAAGUGAUUUCAUGUUGGCUCCUUCUAGCCUUUCUUAAACAUAUAAUAAGGAUAAAAAUACUACUUUAAAUUAAAAAUCAAGUUCAAAGGAGGCAAGUUCGGAAGUAAAAUUGAUGUUAGAAAGUUUCCAAAUUUUAGAUUUGAUUUGAUAUGAUUAAAUAUGAAUAUGGGGUUUGUGUAAUAGUUGAACAAGACAAAUAGAAGACAAUAAAAUUUCAUUAAUUUUUCUCAAUUUGUUAUUUAUCUUUAUGAAAUUAUGUAAUUGUUCUUGUGUUUUCAGCCCUCUUACUCCAACAAGAUCACCAGGGGUGCCCUGUACGGGUUGAAGGUGUUCAGAUAAGGAAGUGAAGAUGGAUGUGAAGAAUGAGUUUAUCUUAUUCAAACCAGAGGACAUGGGCCAGGUUAGUUGUAGAUUUACCAUCCUGGUCACUAAACUGAUCAGGAAGACAUGAAUGAGUUCCAUUGAGAAUACCCAGCAGAUCAUAACCAACUAGCAAGCAAUCAAAUUGAGGUUUGUAAGAUGGGUAGUUGGAAGAAGUUGCAGGAAGCAACAAGAUGGAAUUGGGAGCUAGCCAGACUUUCUUCGGACAUGGUGAAUGAAAGGGAAAAAGGAAGAUGCAAGCCUGUUGGAGCUGUACAAAUCUCAUACCAUAAGAAGAAAUAAGCAAAGAGAUUUUGUGUAUUGUAUUAUGAAUUCACUAACUUGCUUUAUCCAAUACAUACAAAAUGGUGGAAAAACAUUUACAGAAAUAAUUACAAGUCAACCUAAAAUCUAAAAGAAUGAUUCAUAACAUACAACUGUAUUACAAUUGAUCAUCACCCUCCUCGAGAAUGACUAGUAUCAAGGUGGUCAUGAUUGAGCUUUGUUUUAGUAAUUUGCUUCUUGGCUUAUAACAACUACUGAAUAAAUCUGAAAAUUCGUAAAUUGCUCCUAAAGCGCUCAAUGGUCUUAAAAAAAAAUUGAGAAUCUAACAUGGACCAUGGUCAUCCAUAUUCUUUUGGAAGAAAGCUCCAAAUAAUGAGGACAAUCAGUACUUCAGAUGUGAAGUUCCAUGUCAACUGGCGAAAAUAAACUAGGCCCAAGAAGACUGACAUGCAAAGGAAGUUGUUCAUGCUCAUUGCCCCAUAAAUCUGCAGCAAACAAUUCAUAUACAGUUAUGAAUUAGAACAUCAUGACAGGAACCCAAAAUUCACUAAGUUAAGAUAGAUAACUAACAUCAACCCAAGCAAACCUUUGAAAAUGUUAAAGAAGCAAUUCUCAACUUCUUUUGGCUGGCAAAGUUUUGGGCUGACACUGCCUCACUGAAGCUAGCGAAAGGCAGAACAAGAAAUGAGACAAAGAAAGAAGGAAUGUUAGUAGCAGUGGAGAACUUGCCUACAGCAUUGACAAGAGGACCAGCAAAUGUAGCAGCUAUCAGAGAUCCCAAAAGCAACAUCACUACUGCUUUACAGGCACUCCAUUUGGGGCUUUCAAUCUUCACAACCUCAUCACUCUGAAUACCCAGCUGUUCAUGCUCUUUGUUUGACACCUGCUUAUGCAUUUUAAAGAUGUCAUCACACCAACAUCGAGAACAUAAUUAAUCAUGACUGAACCUAGAAUAACAUGGCAUUGACAUACCAAAUUGAAGUGGUCUACAACUAGUCUUGUCUUCAUAUGAUUGUAACUGGAACAAACUGCAGAAUUCUUAGCCUUAUUAAGCCAUUUUGAGAUUCCUUUGGUAAAUGCCUCUAUAUUAAUCUUAGCAUCCCCACAAGCAUGGACAUCUCUCAUAAUAUCUCCAACAGUAUCAUCAAUAUCUGAAUCUUUGUCUUUAAUCUGGAUUCCUGUUAUCAGUGCUCUUAUCUCACUAGUCGAGAGCAACUGAUCUGAAUUCCCAUCAAUCAUCUUAAAUAGCCUGUCAUUGUAUCCAUGAAAAAGUGCAUGCAUUGAGAAUCAGGCCUGGUCUCAUAAGUUAGUAAGAAUUUUGUCAACUAUUUUACCAUUGGUGUUGCCUCAUGACGUUGAUUUUUUAUAAUCUAACUUGGAAUAGCCUACAACUAAUAAGGGAAAGAAGUUGAAACUAAAACAAAGACUAACAUUCUGAUCACUUCCAUAUCAGGUUCACCAUUAGUUGUCAAAAGCCUCUCCAAUGGACUGUAUUUCAAUUGUUUUACAAUUCUUGAUGUCAUAUGCAUCUGCUUUGCAUAUGCAAGCUUUCUUCUCAGAAUCGAAGGGUGAAAGACCUGCAACGACAUUUGAUUGGAAAAUCAUGAAGAAGAAGCUAGCAUAAAAAAGAGUUAUGAAAAUAAAAUUAUUUUAACAAUUAGUAACGUCUGAGUACUGAGUGGACAAAUACCUGAUGAAGGCAAUAUGCAAGCAAUAAAGAAACAGAGAUAAUGAGUGAAAUAAAGAUCGCGAAGCAAAUUUGUGAAGAUGUGUGGAGAACUUGUGCUAGUUGGACUAUUAUGAAUGGCAUAACAGAUAUAACCAUGAUCCUAGCAGUAUAGCUAGCCCUGAUAUCAGUACUGAUAGCUGAACCUGAAAAUAUCGAUAAAGGAACAUGCAUAAUGUGUCAGGAUAACAAUCAGACUGAACAACAUUUUUCUUGUAAAAUGUUAGCUAGAAUCAAUGGUUCACUUUAUGUACAUUGAUAAGUGAAUAGCUAAAUUGUUUUACUCACUGCACAACAAACUUCAUAUGAAUUAUUUAAUUUGGAUAAUGAAGAAAAAGAACAGUUGAAUUCAUUGUCAACAAUUAGAAUCAAUCUGUGUUUAAAAGUUGCUACUUGGAAUAGUCUUUCAUGAAUUCUUGACACAAGCAGAGACUUUAUAACUGAAGAGUAUAGGGAAGUACCAGCUAAGCUGAAUCCUCUGGCAGUUUCCUCUGAAGCUUUUUCCCUUGAGUUUUCAGGGUCACAUUUAUCAACUAUGAUGCAGCAUCCUCCUAGCAAUGUUAGCAGGAUGGCAGUUGAUCCAGUUAGCAAACCGAGCCCAGCGGACACCUGAUUUUGAGCAGUUUCUCCGUUUCCACAUAGUCUGGAUGCUUCACAAAUGCAAAUAACAAAAUAUUCCGUGAGCGUGUAGAAAAAUUAGAUUGCCUGCAGGUAGGCAGUGGAUCUAUACAAGAACACACUAUCAAGUCAAUCACAGUAGAACAUAAAAAUGUGACACUUAAAUACUAGGAAGCCACAGACUAAUAAAGGCUCAUAAUUGGCAUCAGCAACUAUGAAUCAGCUGCAAUUGCCCAUCCAAUGGCUCACUAAACUCAAGAGACCCAUUUGCCACUGAGUAGGAACUCCUGAACUAGUUACAUAAAUUCUCUCUCUAUUUGUGGGUUUCCAAGUAAUCAAUCUUGUGGAUUUUGUCUUCUGCAUCCAAUUGGGUUCUGUACUCACUCGUUUCAGUCACUCCUUUGCCCUGUCCAAUCCUCAUUUUGGUCAUUCUUGGCAAUGGCAAUGCCAUAAACUCUUCCAGGUUUCCUUAUUUCCCACUAGGAUAUGCUUCUCCUUAGAAGUCCUCAAUCGAGCAUUUCAUCAAGUAGUCUAAAUAAGUUUCAGUUUCUGUACUAUGUUUCUUUUAGUACUUCUCUGCAGUUCCAACUGAGGGGAUGGCACAAUUAGCAUUCCUCAAUUCUUUUCUUUCCCUUUCCUUUAUCCUUACUUUUUUUUUUCUAAGUUGAUUCUAUUGUCCAAAAUGAUAGAAUAAAUGUGGACCGACAGUUUAUUAAACAUUGUCCAGGAUUAAGCUAUCUUUUAACAUGCAAUUUCUGAUUUAAUCUUGAGUAUGGGCCACCUAAUGUGUAGAACCCAAUGUCAUCACGGGCUUUAGAUGAUGGGCCUAAGGCCCGUGAGGCUCAAUAACCAAUGGGUAUGGUCCCUAAGGCAGGAGGGUAUGGUCCCUAAGGCAGGAGGGUAUAAAAGGCUUAGGCUUGUGUCUUUUGGGAUAAUCACAUCCUUCUGAAAGAACAGAACCGCUCUCUCUCCCGCUCCCAUUGCCUGAGAGAAUCUAGAGAAAGGUGGUGCCCUCCAUCAGCCUUAGAAGAUCGAUACCUCUUCAUCAAAAGCGUCAAAAUGGAUUCAUUCAGGUUGGUUCCUAUCUAAAGAUUGAUUGUUGAAUAUAUUCUGUAUGUGUGUUUUGGUGUCAAUGGAGAAGACAUGAAGUUACAACACAAAACACUAUGUAAUCUACCACAUUUGAUUAAUGCGUCUGUGUGCUGGCACUUAAUAAAGCAUAUCCAACACAAUCAUUGAGUAGGAAAAAGCAAAGGAAAGUUUUGUUGCAGUUUUCACACUAGGCCCAAAGGAAAAGGACACCAACUCAAAACUCAAGCUUCCCACUCAUUGAUUAUCGGAAUGGCAAAGUAAGGGAUAUGAACCUUACACCACAAGUCUCUUUGAUAUUCACAAAAUAUAUACAUAUGCAACAAUUUGAUCUUCUGACAUCUAGGAAACUUAUGCCAACUGUAUGGUGGACGUUUACAGAAUAUUCUGCAUUUUUUUUUCCUCACUGAUUGGGAACUCAAGUCAAUGACAUUAGGUUCAGAAAAGCAGGAACUGCUAAAGCAAGUGGGAGAAAAAACUAUAUAUUAAAAUGUUGAAACUAUAGUACACAGAAAAUGUGCCUGAAAUGAAUGAAUAGUAUCUCGGGAACUUCAGAUUCAGAAAGUUAUGACUCUUUAUCGUUGAGGCUGAAUGAGAGUGAACCAUAAAUCCUAAAAAUAUGAUGAGUUUCAAGCUUACCAAUGUUGAUAAUAGCAUCAAGAAGCGAGCUGAGCAGAGGCAGAAAAACAGCACCAGCAAUUCCAGGACUAAGAAGUUCCACCAGAAUCUCACUUCCAUCAUAUAAAAGCUUGGCUGCAAACAACAUCAAGGAAACGUAUACAAGGAUAAGGAGUAUGUUUCCAGGCACAGUGGCGGUGCAUGGCAUGAACCCAUAUGUCUGGUUACAGCUAUAUGACGAAGCCCACUCCUCAAAAACAAUAAAAGCUGGCUGCUGAACCUCUCCAUCCCCAUCAGAGACCAGCCCAGAGGAGGAAGAGUUAUUGGCUGCAACACGUCCACAACUUCGGGGGCUUACCAUCAUGAGAAGAAGCAUGGCUAGAAGAAAGAGUUCAUGUUUCUUUGCCAUGCCCGGGCUUGGCCUCAUGAUGAGAGGCUAAUGUGUCCUAUAUAUAUUACUACUCUUGUCAUUAUUGCCUUAGAUUGCUCAUCUUUGACGCUGAAAAGUUGUCUCAGGUGGUUGCAGCUUACCCACUUAAUUGAUUAAAUUAUUGGUGCGUGUACAACUCAUUUGCUUUUUCUCCGUGAAUACAAAUCCAAUGGCGGAUCCUACUGCAUUAUGAAAUUUUAUUUUUUAAUAUUUUCCCAAUGAUACCAUUAAUGUACACUUUUAAUUGUCAUUGUUUUGUACUUAAGUAUAUAGUAUUUUAAUAUAUGUUAAUUAAACCACAUAAAUACGAGUAAAAAAUAAAUAAGAAAAAAAGACAAGAUUUUUAAUAUGGUUCAACGAUUAAUGUGAUCAAUAUGUGCAUAGAAUGCAUCAAUACUCAAAAAUCCACCGGUAAAAAAGAUUGAGUAGAGUUACAAUGGUAUAACUCUCGAAAAACAUCUCUUAAUUGUGAUUGCACACUCUAAAAACAAAACCCUAACAUAAAAGGGUAAAAUAUAUAAUAGAAACAAACUCGUCAAUCAUUAAUUAAAAAAAAAAAAAAAAAACCUUUAAGGGGCUUUGUUUAACCCUCAUAAACUGACUAGAUAGUUUGACCCCGACAAACUCAACGGAGAGCUUAACCCUCACAAGCUGAUCAGACAACUUGAUCCUCGACAUUUUUAGUGAAGUGCAACAAAAUCGAUUCAGGUUUCACAAUCCAAUAAUAAAUUUAUAUUUUUUCAAUGAUCCAUAUUUUAUCCUGUAUUUUAGAUAUUAAUUCGAUAUAUUUUAAUAUUUUUUGUCUAAUGGUAUAGUUGUGAUUUCCUUUUUUCCAAAAAAAAAAAAAAAAGAACUGUUGAUUCUAGCUUGCACCUAGUUGGAAGCAAUGCAAAAUAACAGUUCAUCCCAUUCAAUAUUAUUGCUAAUAUAAUAAUGUUACAACCAUGUGGUUUCUAACAACUUAGUAAAUAUUAUAGUAUGAGUUGGACUCGUACUUCUAAAGUGAUCGAUUUGACGACCUAGAAAUUCACGUUUGGUUAUCUUCAUAUUCAAAUUUGUCCAUGACACCAUGAUUUUAGCUGAUACGUUAUCUUACCUUCAAAAUAUAUAUAUUUUUUCGUUUUCCAAAUCAUCUUCUCAAGGAACGAAGCUUAUGGUCAAUAUAGUGCACCAAACAACAUAAAUCUUUAGGUUUAUGGGGGUAAGUGGUUCUUAUCACCAACAUUUUGAGUAAUUUAAAGUAAUAAUGAAAAAUAAGUGAAGAAUAUUUGAAUGAUGUAGCAAAAUUUUUGUUAAAUAUAUCUAUUUUUUUUAACUAAAAUUGUAAAUUAUUUAAUUAAAAUUAUAAAAUUUAUAAAAUAAGUUUACGUAUAUAACAAGAUUUUUUUUUAUCAAAUAACCUUAAUAAUGUUUUUUUUUAUAAAACAUUAAUAUUACAUAAUAACGAGAAUAGACAAAAAAAAAAAAAAAAUCAAAAUAAGAAUACAUAAAUUUAUUUAAAAAAAUCCGAAAAAAAUCAUAAGUAGAGAAAAAUAAAAUUUACUAUAUCAAAAGAUUAAUACAAUGGAGGAGAGUUGUAAGACCUAUUGACCGAUCCAUCCACUAUCACUUUAGACCUCUCAAAAAAUCUCAUAAUUAUAGUUUAAUCACAUAUUUCACAUCACAAGUUUUUUGAAUCAAAUUACAUAAAAUUUAGGUCAUCAAAAACUAACAAUUAAUAUAUAUAUAUAUAUAUAUAUGUUUUUUGAUGUUUUUUACACAAAUAAAUGUAAAAUAUUAAAUAAUAAUACGACUUUUGUCGUAAAAAUUUAAAUACAACCGAUAAAGGGACAUGUGAAGAGCUUUUUUUUUUUUUUUUUUUUGUUUAUUAAGAUGUGAAUAGAAGAAUUGAGUGUAGCACGUGCUGAAAUUAAAUGAACCGUCCCCGGGUAGCGUUGCUCGAGAUGGGUUUUUGUUUUUCAAUCUUUCAGUUGACCAGACCACCUCCGUGACUUGGGAGGAGACACAUUUGUAUUUUUAUAUUUAUUUGUUUUCUUUUUUUAAAUUGCCUUGUAUGCAUUCCCUCCUUGGUAGCCCCCGUUUUUGAGUGAGAUGAUGCAUGGCACGACCCUCUUUGCAUUUUGCAAGGUGGCGUCCACUUCUUAAUUGUUGUUUACUUAUUUUUAAUUAUUUAUUUAUUUUUUUCCUAAGUGAAACUUAGACAUAUAAACCAAAUUAUUUCUUUCCUUUUUAUUUUGUGUUAUUACUAUAAAUAAUACCUUAUCCCAUAUUAAAAGUAAUUUGGAUUAUUAGGAGUAUAACGUACCUUCUACUGCAACGCACAUUAAAAUAUUUGGGGAAUAGAAUACACUUAUUCUACAUUCCAUAAUUUAUUAUUAUUAUUUCAUAAAUAUUAAAUCAUGCAAAUUUUGUUAUGAGAAGUUGAGUAUUCCUCUAUUUUUUUCUUCCUCCUCAUAAGUUCUCCCUUUUCAUUGAAACAUGAAAAUAUAUAUAAAAAAAAAAACAAUAAUAUAACAAUUGAAACAAAAUGAAAAAAGAGUUGGUCUAAUUUGGUGAAACAUAUGGUAAUAUGUUAUCUUAAAACUGUUAUCACCUCCCUACAUGCAGUGUUAACAAAUGGUAGCCGCUCUAAAAUACAACCUCAACCAUUGGCUAAAACUAUGGGAACCUAUCCAUAAUUCUAUUGUCUAAAAACUAUGAAAAACUCAAAAGAAGAUAUCUUUAUAAUAUUAUUUUUUUCCAUAAAAAUGAAAGGUCUUUUUAAUAAUAAAAAUAUGAUCAUUGUUUGAGUAUUAGUAAUUACCUUAGAAUAGUCAACUCCAUGAAUCUCACAAAUAUCAAUAAAACUCAUCAAAUCCCACACAAGAUUGGAAAAAUAAAAGUCACUUAUUGUCUUUAACCUUUACAAUAAUAAAAGGUAUGAUACCAAGAUUUUAACCUCUUUUUUAUUUUAUUUUUUUGUAAAAGAAAGUUUUAACUUUUAUAUUUUUGAGUAAAAUCUUACAUUCCUCCACAAGGUUUAAAACUUCAAAAUAAUAAUGAAAAUAAGUAAAUAAAUUAAUGGACAACGUUAUACUAUACAAUAUCUAUAGGUAUUUUUUGGACUUGAACUUACACUUAGUAUUAACAAUUUCCAUUUGAGGAUCCAUAGUGAAUUAUGUCUUGAACUACGUCCUUAAGCCAAACUUUAGCAUGACACACACAUAGUAUUGAUAUGAAACUUGAUUCUAAGAGAGUUAGUGAAUGUUAUUAAUGGUCAUGCACUAGUAUCUUGAUUCUCAUGAGAGUUACUAAGGAAUAACCCUACUCCCAUAGUCAUGGUCAUAGGAUGACUCUCAUUUAAGUGAGUCCUCCAAGGGUACAUAUGACUUGUACCUCAUAGAAUUUUUUAUCUUGGACCCAUUUAGGGAAAUACUCUUCCAAACAUCACAUCAAAAGCACUAUCACCAUAGUGAUGUAAAUUAGACUCUCUCCUGAAAAAUAGUGCUAUAAAGUUACGUAUUACAAAUUAUUUCUAUCCAUUUAACCUUCUUCAUGAUAUCUCCGAUCACAAAUGUUAAGUUACCAUUGGAGGUGACUCCUUUAAGGCCUUCAACCCAUCCCCCUUGAUGAUUCUAAGAUAGCAUUUCUAGAAAGACCCUUGGUCAACUAAUUGACAAAAUUCUUUCAGAUCUAAAAUCCAAGGAUGUCGAAUAGUAAGUUUUUAAUGCAUUCUGCCUCAAUGUAUAUUAUAUCAAGCGCAAUUAACUUAGAUUUCAUUGCUUCUUGAUAUUAUAGUUUGUUUUAAAUCCCUAAGAAAUAACAACACCUCUUAGAAGGAUAUUAUAUCUAAUAGUGAAUUUGACAUCUAAAUUUUCAAUUAUCCAAUUUACAUCACUAUAUCCUUCCACUACAUUAAGGAAUCCUUCGUAACAUAAAGAGUAAUCUAAACUUUCUCUAAGAUACUUAAAAACUCUUUAAAGCAACCCAAUUUUCCUUGCUAGGAUUAUGAUUAUACCUACUUAGUCUCCCCGCUACAUAUGUUAUACCAUUGUUAGUCUAGUUAUUUGAAAUAUACAAUAAAGACCCUAUUAUUUGAGAAUCAUUAAUUGUUGUAUUGCUCUCCAACAUUUUUCUUCAAAUGCAUAUGGGAAUCAUAGGGUGUGGAUAUUGGUUUACUAUCAAAGUAAUUAAAUUUUCUUAAUAUUUUUUCAAUGGCACUUCAUUGAUCCAAAUUUGUACCCUCAACUGUUCUUAAAAGUCUCAUUCCUAAUAUUAUGUAUCUCUCCUAAAUCCUUCGUCUCAAAGUUCAUAGAUAAAUAAUCUUUCAUGUCAUUCACUAUUCUAUACUACUUCCAAAAAUUAGAAUAUCACCUACGUAAAAACAAAGUAUGUUACAUUCUUUUAGAUCCAUUUUAUAAUAAAUACAUUUAUCAUAAUCAUUAAUCUUAAACCUAAAAUCCAAUAUGACUUUAUCAAACUUUUUAUGUCACUAUUUUAAAGCUUGCUUAAGACCAAUAUAAUGACUUGACCGUUUUCAAGAAUAGGGUGACUUCACUAAUUUCUAUUUAAUUUCUCUCUUAAUGUUGUUUAUGAUUCCUCUAGUUUAUGGGUGGGCUAAAUUUAUAUAUUACCUAAUUUUUAUUUAUUCCACCUCAUCAAAAAUUCAUGUUGGUUAGCCUUUUAUUCAUUCAAAAUCAUCAAAGAUUAUAUAGGUUAUCCUUUCAUUCAUUCCAACUCAUUAAGGAUGCACAUAGUUGCACUCUUUAUUUUUCUUCUACCUCUCCAUACCAUUAUAUACAAUUAUAUGAUUAUAUUUUUAUUUUUGUAAAUAGUAGAAGAAAAAGCAAGGAUGUCUCUUCCAAUCUUGUGAAAUAAUAAAUGUUAUAAAGUUAAAUUUUGGAUGCAUAAAAAUAGAAAGUUAAUUAAGUAUUAUUAAGCAAUCUUACUUUUUACCUUAAUCCAUGACACAUAAUACGAAAUUGAUUGAUAAAUCAACUCAAAUUCAUAUUUCACAUCAUGGAUAAAGGUAAAACAUAAUACCAAUUAAUUAAUUUUUUAUUUUAUCAUUUUUCUAAUCCAAGUCUCUAAUUGGUUGCCUUGAUUAAUUAGAUCAUCUACCAAGCUUUUUAUAUACAUUUCCAAAGAAAUAAGUCUAUAAUCAAUAAACAUAAUCAUACACGACCAUAAUUAAUACAAAUGCUAACAGUAAUAGGUGAAGAGAGAUGUCCAUCACUUGGGGAGUGAAAAAAGGUAUGAUGUUUGAAAGGGCCGAGCAGGGUUAUCAAUUAGGGAUGACAAUAGGGCAGAUUCGGAAUGGGUCGCCCCCAUCCCAACCCCGUCUCGUUUAUUCAAAAUUAUUUUCAUCCUCAUCCCAUUUAAAAAAUUAAACAGGACGAGACGAGUAUGAUAAAUUCUCAUACCCGUCCCACUUUGCCCCGUUUAACUAUAUUUUUUGAAUUUUAAUUUUUUUUAAAUUACUUUUAAAAUUUUUAAUUAUAUUAAAAUAAUUAUAUUUUAUAAAUAAUUAAAUUAUUAUAUUUUUUAUAACUUAUUUUAUUAAAAAUAUUUUUUUAUUAUUUAUAUAUUAAAAAUAGUAAAAUAAAAAUUAAAUUAAAUUAAUUUUAAAAUUUAAAUUAAAUUAAUUUUAUAUAUAAUCGGGACGGGACUUGGUAAUAUCCGAACCCGGCUCCAGGUUUAAAAAAAAAUUAUCAAACCCGUUUAUUAAAAUUGAAUCUCGUCCCACUAAAAGCGAGACAAACAGUACCUGAAAGAACCGGUCCACUGCCAUCCCUGUUAUCAAUUAGAGGCUUACUCAUUUUUAAACCAUUGGCUGAAGAGUAAAGGUCUCCCCACACAUGCCUGUUAUUAUCAAAACUAGAGUCGAACAAACUGACUAGUCAAAACAGAAAAGAGAUGAUGAGAGAUGAUUUUUGGGGAAGGGUACUAUCAAGUCAAUUAUAGAUGCCAAUUAUCAAGACAAGCUCUGACACUAACUAGUGCACAUGGUGAAUUCUAUGCUAGGCUACCGUAUAAAUGAUCAUUAUUGCUUUGCAUGUGAAGUAGAUGUAACAUCUAGUGACAUCCUUCUGCAACAGGGAGAUCCUUUAACAAGCACUUAACAAGACAUCAAUUGAGCUUUAGAGGAUAGGAUGGGAAGAAUACUUUUUUUUUUUUUUUUUUAUUUUAUCUCAAGAGGCAUAUCAGAUGAUAUUGUCUUAUUUGUUUAUCCUCUUAUACCUUAAUCUCAUUUAUUUGUAUCAUUUAUUUAACGAUCGAGAUCUUAUAUAUCGUAUAUAUUUCAAGACCCAAAUCUUUUGUUCGAGAGGUACCACUUUGGUAUCUUAGCAUUUUCCUUGAAGGAUGGAUAGUUGGAAGGAGUCAAUUUCAAUGGAAGCUGUGAAAUAAUAUGCUUAGAAAAGAUGAGGUUGGGUAAAUUAGUAAUAGUUUCAGGCAAAGCAACAAUAAGAGACAUGGUGAAUGAAAGAGAAAAAGAAGAUACUUGUUGGAGCUUCACAGUCUGAUUCCAUAACAGCAAAAAAAAAAACAAAGAAAAUUUUGAAUUGUAUUAUGAUUCACUAAUUUGAUGUCACAGAUGUGUACAGGAUGCUAGAAAUUAAUUUACAGUAAUAAUCACUAGUCAACCUAAAAUCUAGACAGUCUUUUUUUUUUUUGGUUAUCCAUAUUCUUUUGGGAGAAAGCUCCAAAUAAUGAGUAUAAUCAGCACCUCAGAUGUGAAGUUCCAUGUUAAAUGGCGAAAAUAAAGCAGGCCUAAGAAGACUGACAGGCAAAGGAGGUUGUUCAUGUUUACUGCCCCAUAAAUCUGCACCAAACAAUUCAUAUAGUGUUAUUGGAUUAGAAUAACACAACAGCAACACAAAAUUCACUAAGAUAGAGAAAAGCAGCAACGAAGUAGUCUAACAUCAACUUCUAUACAUAUAAAUUUGUAGGAGAAGAAAACCUCUGAAACUGUUAAAGGAGCAAUCCUCAAUUUCUUUUGGCUGGCAAAGAUUAGAGCAGACACUGCUUCACUUGAGCUAGCAAAAGGCAGAACAAUGAAUGAGACAAAGAAAGGAGGAAUGUUUGUAGCAGAGUAGAAGUUGCCAACAGCAUUGACAAGAGGAUCGACAAAUGUAGCAGCGAUAAGAGUUCCCAACAGCAAUAUAAACACUCCUUUGAAGGCACUCCAUUUGGGAUUUUCAAUCUUCUCAGCCGUAUAAAACUGAAUCCCCAGAAGCUCAUUCCCUUUGCUUGUGGGCUGAAUAUGCAUUUUAAAGAUGUCAGAUUACUAGUAGUGAGGACUUGAUCAGGACUAAACCGAGAAUAACAUGAAACUGACUAACAUACCGUGUUGAAGUCAUCUAUAAUUAUUCUUGUCUGGAAAUCACUGUCACUUGAACAAACUGCUGAAUGCUUAGCCUUAUCAUACCAUUUUGAGAUUCCUAUGAUAAAUGCAUCCAAGUUAAUUUUGGAAUCCCCACAUGCAUCAAAAUCUGUCAAUACUUUCCCAACAGCCUCAUCAAUAUCUGAAUCUUCUUUAAUCUGGAUUCCUGUUAUCAGUGCUCUUAACUCACUAGCCGAAAGCUGCUGAUCUGAAUCCUCUCCAAUCAUCUCAAAUAACCUGUCAUUGUAUCCAAGAAAGAGUUGAUCCAUUGAGAAUCAAGGCUGAUCAGACAAGUUAGAAAGGAAUUUGCUGAGUAUGUGAGGAUUGGAAUUGCUUCAUGCAAUUGAUGUGUUCGAAUCUAAUUUAGAAAAGCCCUAUGACUAGGGUUAAAAGGGACAUAUUCAAAGAGGAAAGAAGUUGAAAUUAUAACAAAGACUAACUUUUUUAUCACUUCUCUAUCAGGUUCCCCAUUAGCUGUUAAGAGCCUCCCCAGGGUACAACAUUUCAAAUGUUUUACAAUUCUCGACAUCAUAUGCUUAUCCUUUGCAUGUGUAAGUCUUGUUUUCAAAACUGAAGGGUGAAAGACCUGCAACAACAUUUGACUGGAAAUUUGAGAAGAUGGCAUAAGAAAAGGUUUGGCUACCAAAAAAAAAAAAGUCAACAAGAAGCAGCCUCUGAAUUUGAGUGGACAAAUACCUGAUGAAGGCAAUAUGCAAGCAAUAAAGAAAUAGAGAUAAUGAGGGAAAUCAAAACUGCUAAGCAAAUUUGUGAAGUUGUGUGGAGAACUUGUGAUAGUUGGAUUAUUAUGAAUGGCAUAACAGAUAUAACCAUGAUCCUUGCUGUAUAGCUAGCCCUGAUAUCAGUACUAGCAGCUGAACCUGAAAAUAGCAAUAAAGGAACAUGCAUUAUGUGCUAGGACAAUAAUCAAGCUAAGCAGCAAUUAACUUGUUAGAGGUAGCCAGAACUAAUAAUAUGCUUUAGCACGUAUACUGAUAUGCACAGAACUAAAAAAAUUUUACCUACUGCAUAACAAACUUCACAUGAAGAAAUACUUAAUUUGGACAGCGAAGAUAAAGAACAAUUAAAUAGUAAUAGCAUUUCAUAAUUCGAAGAUUUGAAUUAAUCCCAGUUGAAAAGUUGCUCCACAAAAUAUUCUUUCACACAUGACACUAACAGAGUCCUAAGAAGUGAAGAGGGGAGGUAAGUACCGACUAAGCUGAAUCCUCUGGCAUUUUUCUCCACAGGUUUUGCCCUCAAAUUUUCAAGAUCACACUUGCCAACUAUGAUGCAGCACCCUCCUAGCAAUGUUAGAAGCAUGGCAGUUGAUCCACCCAGCAAAGCACUCCCAGCUGACACCUGGCUUGAAGCAGUAUCCUUGUUUCCACAUAGUCUGGAUGCUUCAGAAAUGUAAAAGAGCAUUCCGUAAGUGCAUAGAAUGAUUAGAUUACACAUAGGCAUUGGAUCUUCAAGAACACAUCACCUAAACAAUUUCAGUGGAACAAAAAUGAUGAAACUUGACAAUUGGGAGGCUACAGACUAACAAAGGCUCACAACUGGCAUGAAUAACUAUGAAUCAUCUGCACUAGCCCACCCAAUGGCUCAGUAAACUAGAGGGAAAAAAACCAGAUUUAUUUUUGAGUUGAACCCUUGAACUAAUUACAAUUCUUUCUCUCUGGUUGUACAUUUUCAAGUAAACGUAUACAUUUUGUUCCUUUCAUCUGCAUCGAAAUCACUUGAAUUUGCACAUCUCAGCCACUCAUCUUCUCCAUCCAAUCCUCAUUUUGGUCAUUCUUGGCAAUGAAAAUCCUCUGAACUUUUUUCGAGGUUUUCAUCGUUUCCCAUUAGCAUUAUCCUCAAAAAGUUUCAUUCAGGCAUUUCAUCAAGCAGUUUAAACAACUUUCAGUUUCUCUACUCUUUGCUCCUUUUAGUACUUCUCUGUUUUGCAAUCAAACCAUAUCCUUCUAAUUAAGUUGAUACUAUUGUUGAAGUUUUGAUCACUACCUUAUCUACCACAAACAAAAAUACCCUGUUCACCUCCCUUUCUUUCAGUUCAUGCAUUCAAACACAAAAUCUAUAUAAACAAUUAGCCUGCAAGUACAACAGAAUCAUUAUAACAUGCAUGUGAUGCUAAGUGCACAUACCUCCCAAGCUUCAUCUGGUUGAAUUGAACUAAAAAUCAAAUUUAGUUUCCUUAAAACAUCAGAACCACAAAAGCAAAUCCAUUGUCACAAGAGGUUUUCCAAGUUCUCUAGACCUACAAAAGUCUGCAUCUAACACAUGUAGAGUGAAUUUUGUAUGUUGACACUUACACAAGGUUUGUGUAUAUAUAUGUCAUCAGCAUAAUAAUUGACUGGGGAAAAAGAAAGGAAAGUUUUGUUGUAUUUUUCAUAUCAAGGCAAAAAUAUAUAUAUAUAUAUAUAUAUAUAAAUAAAUAGAAACUGUUAGGGUCCCACCUAUUGAUAAUAGUAAUAGUAAUAUAAGGGAUAUCCCCAUACUACAAGCCUCUUUGAUGCAUAUAAAAAAUAUGCUAUGGUUGUUUUUUUUUUUUUUUUUGAUAUUUUUGGAUACUUAUGCCACCAAUUGUCUUUGUGCCACUUGUAUGGUAGAUGUAUGGAAUGUUCUGUAUUUUUUCUUUUCUCCUUGACUACUUUGCAGCUUUAUGUCCAUGGUAUUGGGUCCAGAAAAAUGGCAACUAGUGAAACAAAUAGGAGAAGAAAGAUUAAAAACAUGGCCCCUUUUUUCAUGGUCUUGAAACUAAGAACUUGAAUCAGAGAAGGUGCCCAGAUUGAAUCGAUAAUAUUUUUGGAAUUGCAAAUUCAACAAAUGGGUUGAGAUAUGGAAUGGAUGCAUACAAGUAACUUCUACUUGAUUUGGCUGAAAAUUAAAGUGACCCAUAAUUCUAAAAACAUGAUAGAUUUCAAGAGAGAUCUCAGCUUACAUCAAGCUUACCAAGGAUGAUAAUAGCAUCAGGAAGAGAGCUGAGCAGAGGUAGAAAAACUCCACCAGUAAUCCCAGGACUUAGAAGUUCCACCAGAAUCUCACUUCCAUCAUACAAAAGCCUGGCUGCAAAGAACAUCAAGUAACCAUAAACCAGGAUAAGGAAUACAUUUCCAAACACAGUGGUGGUGCAUGGCAUGACCCCAUGUGUCUGUUUACAGCUAUAUGGUGAAGGCCGGUGCUCAAAAACAACAAAAGCUGGUUGCUGAACCUCUCCACCUCCAUUAGAGACCUGUCCAGAGGAAGAGUAUUUAGGUGCAAUAUAUCGACAAUUCCCAGGGUUCACUUGCAGGAGAAGAAGCAAUUGUAGAAGAAGUAAUGCAUGUUUCUUUCCCAUGUUUGAGCUUGGCUUUGUGACCAGAACCUGAAGGGUCCCAUAUAUAUUGUAACCAUUCUUGUCCUUAUUGUCUUUAAUGGUUUUAUCUUUGAUGCUGGUCGAAAGCUUGUGUCUGGUCGUUGCGCCUUGUAGGCCCACCAGGAACUGAUGAAAUAAUUGGUGCGUGUUGAAUGGGAACUUAGAAAAUGUGAUGGGAAUUAUUUGGCAUGAGAAAAUAUUGUUAAAUAACGUAAAUUACUUUUCCGAAUAAAUACAAAUACGUGGAUGUUGAAGCAAUAUUUAAAAAAUAAAAAAUAAAUAGUGGUUCUUACUUCGUUUUAUUGAAUCAUUUCAAUUGCUUUUCCAAAUAAGAGGUGGAUGCAAUGUUUUGAUAAAAUAAAUAAAUAAAUAAAUAAUGAUUUUUCGUUACCCACACCCAUUUGAAACUCUAAAAUUAAUGUCAAAAAAUUAUUAGUUAAUCCAACAAUCACAGGAUUGUUAAAGAUAAUUUAUGGGAUAAAGAUAAUGUUAAAUGAUACCGAAAAAGUCAAUUCUACAAUUAAUUGAUUAUCAACAUAUUAAGUAUUAUAUGAUGAGCUUGAUUUAGGGUGUUGCACUUUAUUAUUCAUAUUUAAAUCAAUGCCUAUUGAAAAGUAUGAUCAAUCACAACAUGUCAUAUAUAUAAUUUAAUCUCAUGAUUUUAUAUCUCAUUCAUAAGUCAUUAAUUUAUUUGUUUUUAACUUAAUAUGAUAUUUUCCUAUUUGUUUAUACUUGAUCUCAUAUAUUUGUACUUUCAUGAUUAAAAGAUCACUAAGUACUAAUAGCCAAGCAUUUUUCUUCUUAUAUUUACGCGAGUCUUGGUUCAUUUCCACAAUUUAUGAUCAAUCUUCGAUGAUGUAGAAUUCAGGUUAUUUUAACUUGUGAGUCUUUUUCACACAGGAUUUGAAAUAUUAAGAGUAGAACCAUGAUAAUGUAAAUUAGGUAGGAAGCAAUGUGGACUACAACCAAGCCAUAUAAUGUCCAAUACGUUUCUAAAAAUUUUUAUUUUAUGCCCUUACAAGUUUUGUUUUGUUUUAUUUUCAAAGUAACGUGAUGUGUAAGCUUCAAAGUGCUCACGCUCACCUAUCUUAUUCAUAUUAUUAUUAUUAUUGCAAAAUCUUUGAAGAAGUCACUUCUCUUCAUGUUGGAGAAUUGUAGAAGAAGCCAUUGACAACAAAAUCAUGAAUGUUCUUAAGCUACAAAUUAAACUUGACACCAUUGGCACUUUUCUAAUACAAUUUCGCGGCUCCCACACAAAAAUAGUCUUAGGGGAGUGGUCAAUUAUGUGGAUACAAUGAUGAACUCAAGGAAAAUUAUUGAGACAUAUAAGAUCAAAGGUGUAUCAAAUUAAAGCCUUAGUUAUGAUUAGUGAUGUAUAAUCAACUGCAAUAUAUAAUAUUAAUUUAAUUGGAGUCAUAGAACCGAUGGUUACGAUUUGAAAAAUAUUAUAAUUAAUAUAGAGAGACAUGAUGCCAUGGGUGGUCCAAUCCUAUCGGUUAUAUAAAAUAUGAUUUGAUGAAAAGACUAAGAUGAUAUAACAUAAGAAUCUCCUUAAAUAUUUUUCAAUUUUUUAGAUAAAAUUAUAAUUUAUUGAUAGGCUCAAUUUCAAUUGUAAAGUCAAAAACAAAUUACCCAUGAAAAAAAGUGUUUUAAUCAUGACCUUUAAUACUAAUUUGUUAAAAAAGUUGUUCAUCAUAACUUUUAAGACUAAUUUGUGCAUGUGCAUGGCAAUCAAUGCUUAAAAGAAAAGUUGUCUAACCUUUUAUAAGAUUCAUGUGAGUUUGACAAGUGAAGUUGAUGCUUUUUUUUUCUAAUAUCCAUGUAUCUUGAUUAAAAAAAGUUGCUAAAAGAUUAAUGGAGUUGGUUAAGAUAAAAACAAAAAAGAAUAAACAAUUAAAAAUUAACAUAUUUCUUAAUUUACCUUUACUACUUUGUAUUUGUGGAAAAUCUUAUUCAAUAAUUUUUUAAUUCUUAGGCAUCAGAAUGGAUAAUAUUGAAUAACUAAUUUUCCUAAAAGCUUAGAAUUGCCUCAUAUCCAUACAUGAGAAUUUGGAUUCAUAUUCAAUAAAGAAUUACAAAGAGUGAGAUGAAAACAAAUGUGAAAAAUAAACAUACAAAUUACAAAUAGAUGACUUAAACCACAACCUUUUGUCAAAUCAAGUUCUGAUACUACGUUAAAUAACCAAUUUUCCUAAAAGUUUAAUCUUAUAGGAUUUAAAUUCAAUAUGCAUAUUAUGCCUCCUUAUCAAAUAAUAUAUAUUUUUUAAAAAUUAGCGGUAUGUGAUAUGACGUACAUAAAUUUCAAUGGAAGUUAUUAAGAAAAUGCAAUGAAACAUCAAAUACAAACAGGUGUAGAGCUUCAUAUAUAGUCAUCAACUGAAAAAAGAACUGAAAAUAUGGGUGUACCCUUGAUGCUCUUUUUGCUGUCUUUGAACUGAAAAUGUGUCUAUGACCAUCCCAAAUAAUUGUCAAGAACAUACACCAACACCAAGGAUAAUGGGUAAAGCAGGAAGGCCAUCAAGCUUGUCCAAAGAGGGAAAGUUGUACGGGUACCAGCAAAGACUCCCAUCAGUAUGCAUACUAUCAGAAUAAUCAGCACCUCAGAUGCGAAGUCCCAUGUCAACUGGCGAAAGUAGAUGAGACCCAAGAAGACAGACAAGCUAAGGAUGUUGCCCAUUGUCACUGACCCAUAAAUCUGCAGAAAGAAACUCAAUGGUUAUGGAGUAGGCCAUUAUUACGCCUAAUUUUAAGGUUGAGAAGAGGAGAAGCAUACCUCAGAAAAUGUUAAAGAAGCAGUCCUCAACUUCUUUCUGCUGGCAAAGAUCAUGGCUGAUACUGCUUCACUGGAGCUAGCAAAAGGAAGAACAACAAAUGAGACAAAGAAAGAAGGGAUGCUUGUAGCAGUGGAGAAGUUGUCAACAGCAUCAACAAGGGGAUCGGCAAAUAUAGCAGCAACAACUGUGCCCAAAAGCAACAUGGCUACUGCUUUAGAGGCAUUCCACUUGGGAUUUUUAAUGCUCUCCACUUCCUCCUCUUCAUUCUGAUCCUCCAACUUAUCCUGCUCCUCUCUUGUUCGCUGCAUAUGCAUUUUAAGGAUGUCAUAGUACUAAGUUACAAACAUUCGGGACUGGAUAAAGAAAAACUUGACCCUUGACCAUGACAUACCAGAUUGAAGUCAUUUAUAUAUCUUGUUGACAGGGAAUUACUGCCAUCACUGCCAGCAUGAAUUGCUGAACGCUUAGCCUUAGUAAGCCAUCUUGACAUUCCUCUGACAAACUCAUUCAUAUCAAUUUGGGAAUCCCCCGUUGUAUCAAAAUCUUUCAUUACACUUUUCACAGUUUCAUCAAUAUCCAAAUCCGCUGCAUCAAACUGGAUCCCUAUUAUCAGGGCUCUUAUAUCAGUAACAGAGAGGUACCCAUUCGAAUUUACAUCAAUUGUCUCAAAUAACCUGCCAUCAUAUCCAUGAAUUAAAGGGUAUAUUGAGAGAAUCAAGGUUGAUUAAUUUUCAAGUUUCCAGUCAUGAUUUUGUCAAGUAUUUGUGCUUCCCUUCAGGCCUGAGUAGUUUGUUAAUAAGAUCUCAUUCAGUUAAUUUAUGUGCAGAUUCCCAUAGUGCCUAAUUCAGUGAAGUGACCAAGAGACAGAUUCAACUCAAAGUGCAACAAAGACUGACUUUUUUAUGGCUUCUGUAUUAGGUUCACCGUUAUUAGUGAAGAGCCUUCCCAGGAUAUGGGACUUCAAAUGUUUUAAAAUUCCCGACAUUAGAUGUUUAUGCUUUGCAUAUGCAAGUCUUCUCUUCUGAAUCCUAGGCUGAAAGACCUGCAAUGGUGUUGAUUGGAAAAACGCAAAGAAGCUCAGACAACAAAGGAUUUGGUUACUGAAAAAAUAGACAUCUUUCAACAAGAAGCAACAAGGGAAUGUAUAUAAAUCCAAGUAGAUGAACAUAUACCUGAUAAAGGCAAUAUGAAAGCAAUAAAGAAAGAGAGACAAUGAGUGAAAUCAAGACUGUUAAUCGAGCUUGCGAAGUUGUAUGGAGAACUUGUGAUAUUUGGACUAUAAUGAAUGGAAUAACAGAUAUAACCAUGAUCCGAGCCGCAUAGCUGGCCCAGAUAUCAGUACUAACGCCUGAACCUGAAAAGACCAGAAAACACACACACACACACACAUUAUGUACCAGGAUCAUUAUCAGAAAAUUUUGUAUUAACCCCUGUAAUUCUGAAGUCUUGUUUAAUUACUCUUUCAAUUGAAAAGUUCAUCCAGUAAAUAGUCCAUGACUGAUCAAUAAAUGACCAAAUGCAGAGGUUUAUAAAUAAAUGAAGUUGAGGGAAUUACCAGUUAAGCUGAAUCCUCUGGUGUCUUUCAAAUCAGUAGCCACUGAAUUUUCAAUGUCACACUUGCCAACUAUGAUGCAAGAUCCCCAUAGUAUUGUCAGAAGCAUAACAGUUGAUCCAGCUAGCAAGCCCAUACCAAUUGAGACCUGACUUUGAGCUGUUUCUUUGCUUCCAGAUAGCCCAGAUGCUUCAGAAACACAAAAGUUUCACAACAAAAAAGUCAAUAGAAGUAUGAUUAAUUAGACUACAUAAUGAUAGUCAUCAACUGUGUGCAAACACGUUGUUGAAUUUAUUGAAUAGUAUGAAGAAAGUCUAUGAAAAUUAACAAUUGGCAAUAACAAUUGUGAAUUAACCGAAAAACUUGGACUUGGGGUAGCAGCUAUUUUGGAUCUGUUUUUGUUUUAGUUCCAGUUAAGUUUGCCCUCAGAUGGAUCAUUGAGGCUUUCAUCAAUAUCCACACUAUUUCAUGCCAUUUGGCCAUUUGUAAACAACUGAUUUUUUCCUACUAAUACUAUUAGCUUUAUUUGGUUGCAUAGAAUUGGAAUCCAAUUCCCCUGAACCCCACAAUCCAAAAAUAAACAACUGAAUAAAAGAAAAUAGAAGGAAAACCCAUGGUAAAAACAAGGAUUUGAAUUCCAAAUUGUCCAAAUCUGCAGAACCAAGAACAACCCAAAUCUUCCAAAAAUCUAGGAGAUGUGUAGCCCUUAAUCCUAGCUGAUAUCAUUGUAGGCAACUUGAAUCAGUUUUGGAAAAAAAAAUUCAUCUAUCACAUGUGACCAGUCCAUUUUGUGCAUUAAGACUUACAGAGGGUAGAUAUUUAUAUAGUAAGAAAUCUAAUAUUCCCAUUGUAUGUAUUUGCUUACUAUAAUAAUUGCACCCAUCGGAAAUCUCGGAUCUGAUAAUGGAGUUAGUAAGGUUGAACUUUCUUUGUUGGCAAUAAUAAUAAAAGAGAUAAGCACAUGUCCAUGGAAUACUUUUCAUACAUAUGUUUUUCUUGACAACUUGGAACUUAUGUCAAUGGUAUUAGGUAUAGAAAAGUUGCAGAAAGAGAGCAAGUGGGAUUAAUAUAUAUUAAUCUUGGGCCCUCUUGCCAUGGUUCCAAAAAUCAGAACUCAAGUUAGACAAGGUACCCAAAUUGAAUUGAGAAAAAACAAUGUUUACAAUUCAACCUAUUGGUCAAGAACACAGACCAGAAUGAAGAGAAAAGCAAAUGAGAUCAGUUUUAUCAAUUUGGGUGGGAAAAGUGAAUGAUGGAUCAAAACGGUAUGAUGGAUUUCAAGCUUACCAAGGAUGAUAACAGCAUCAGGAAAAGCACUGAGCACAGGCAGGAAAAGCCCACCAAUAAUUCCAGGACCAAGAAUUCCCAGCAGAAUCUCACUUCCAUCAGACAAAAACUUGGCUGCAAUAAACAUCAAGUAACCAUACACAAGGAUUAGGAAGAUGUUUCCCAGCACAGUGGUCGUGCAUGGCAGGAAUCCAUAUGUCUGGUCACAGCUAUCUGAUGAAGCCCAAUUCUUAAAAACAAUAAAUGCUGAUUGCUGAACCUCUCCAACUCCAUCAGAGACCAGACCAUAGGCAGAGUUAUCUGCGACCCCCUGACCCUUUCCGCCAUUGAUCAGCAUCAUGAGAAAGAGAAAGGCUAGAAGAAAGAGAGCAUGCUUCUUUGCCAUGGCUGAGCUUGGCUUUGUGAUCAGAAGCUAAUAUGUUAGGUGUCUUCUGGUUCUUUUCCACAUUGCCUUAAAACAUGCCUCAUACUUGGAGAACUUGUAGGUGAGGAAGAACAGGUGGUAUUGGGAAAUUUAAAAUGGGAGGCUUGAGUCAAGUCAAUGGAAGAGGUUUUACAGAUAUGGGGAAAAAAAAAAUCAAUAGAGAAGAACAAAAAAUCCUAGGUAUGGUAUCACAUCAUGGGAUUUUUAUAAGAGUACAGCAGUUUCAAAAAAUAAUUUCUAAAUUAUCGUAGUAGAAAAAAUAAUUCCAAAUCUACCAUAGUUUUGUCCAAAUAGGAAAGAGAAAAUAACUUGUAAGUGAAAAAUCGUCUCCGAUUUUCAAAAAAUAAAAAAUAAAAAUAAAACAAAGUGAGAAAUUGUCUCUUAAAGAGACGAUUUCCACACAAAAGUGAAAAAUGGGAAAUCGUCUCUUCAAAAGACGAUUUCCAUGUGAGAAAUUCUCACUUCAAAAAAAAAAAAAAAUCUUCAAAAAUCCAUUUUUUCAUUCUUUAUUUUAUUUAUACAAUAAUACAAUUAUUGUAAAUAUAUAUUAUGAAAUUAAUUAAUUUUAUUUACUAAAUUUAAUAUAUAAAUAAUAUACUAAAUUUAAUAUAAGAUAAAUAAUUUAUUAUUUUUUUCUCUUACUUUGGAAUUAAAAAAAAAUUAUUAUCAAUUAUGUGAAAAAUGAGUUUUAAAAACAAUUGUUAUUAAUUUAUUAAAUAAUUAUUUAGUAUAUUAUUUAAAGAAACCCAAGUAGAAACCGUUUCUUCAAGAGACGAUUUUCACACCACCUUUAAAAGCGAGAAAUUCUCACUUUAAACAAAAAAAAAAAAAAAACCCUUCAAAAAUCCAUUUUUUCUUCUUACUAAAUAACAUACUAAAUUUACUAUGGUUUUUUUUUUUUUUGAAGUGAGAAAUUCUCACUUUAAAAGGUGGUGUGGAAUCGUCUCUUCAAGAGACGAUUCCCACUUGGGAUUUUUUUAAAUAAUAUACUAAAUAAUUAUUUAAUAAAUUAAUAACAAUUGUUUUUAAAAUUCAUUUUUCACAUAAAUUAAUAAUAGUUUUUUUUUUAAUUCCAAAGUAAGAGAAAAAAUAAUAGAUUAUUUAUCUUAUAUUAAAUUUAGUAAAUAAAAUUAUAAUAUAUAUUUAUAAUAAUUGUAUUAUUGUAUAAAUAGAAUAAAGAAUGAAAAAUGGAUUUUUGAAGGCUUUUUUUUUUUUUUUUUUGAAGUGAGAAUUUAUCACAUAUAUAUUCUUGAAGAGACAAUUUUUCACUUGCAAUUUAUUUUUUCUUUCCUAUUUGGACAAAACUACUGUAAAUUUGGAAUUAUUUUUCCUAUUACGAUAAUUUAGAAAUUAUUUUUUAAAACUACCGUACUCUUAUAAAAAAAUCCUCACAUCAUGGUGAAUGAGUUAAUUACAUACCAAUGUAUCAUACCAUAUCAAAUCUAUAGUACCAUUUGUCAUAUUGUUGUUUAGCCCAGAUUUCAUGUGCCUUUUUUGUUAUUCUUUUAUUUUUAUAAAAUUAUAUGUUCAUGAAAUAAUGACUAAGAAAUAGAGAGGGGGUGUUUUCAAAUUUAGGGCAUUGUUUAGCUGUACUGAAAUAAAUUUGAUACUAUCUAUUUAAAACUCAAAGUCAAUUAGUAACUAGUACAAUAUCAAUUAGGAGCGAUUUCAUGUAAUUCUAAGUUGUUAAUUAACAUAUGUGUGAUUUUAUUUUUUUUAGAAGCAUGACAUUGUUGAGCUUUAGUCGAGGUAAACUUGAUAUCAGAUUUUGAUUAAGAUUAAUCGUGUUUAUAUCACGUUAACCCCCUUUGUAGGGACCUCUCCCCCUGGGAAACACGUGGCACGCAGCUCAUGGUGACGCGUGGCACGUGUUAUCAGCCGAACCAUCAUCAUCCGGAUUCCCCUAAGGAUAUGCAUGGUGCAGUUAUCCUAUCCGGACCGCCUCAAGGAAAGGCAAACGACGUUUCAGCUUCUCCUAUCCAAGGAAGAGCAAACGACGCUGGCAGAGCGUAGACAUCCGGAUAGUCCCCACAACACAUCCGGAUAAUCAGCAUGAGCCAUCCGGAUAUAAAUCGUCUGGAUGGUCAAUUAAAGUAGCGUAGACAUCCGGAUAGUCCCCACAACACAUCCGGAUAAUCAGCAUGAGCCAUCCGGAUAUAAAUCGUCUGGGUGGUCAAUUAAAGUAAAGUGAGUCUUACACGCAAUCACAACAAGCAGCCAUGGCCCACAUCUUGUCACCUGCAGAGUGAAAAGACAAGAUGAAGUGAUAGCAAGUCACUUCCCACGAUCAUUCUACAUGAUCACCUUCCCACAAUCUCUGACAGCCGCAUCACCUACCAUAGUUUCUGACAGUCGUUCGUAGGGUGAUAAUGCUCCUACUAACACCUAUUGUCAUCAUCACAACAUAAAAUAUCUCCUCACCAUUAAUGAGAGGAACAGUACCCCUGAAGCUGUAUAUAUAUGCCUUCGCACGAAGAAAAAAGGGAUCCCCCUGGUAACCUCUUGAUACCUAGUAAAAGGCCAACUAAUUUAUACAUCUCUCUCUCACCAUGGCUAACAAAACCAUCGGAGGGUGCGUCCGGACACCUUGUCCGGAUGCCUUUUGCAGGUGCAACCGCUGAAUCAAGAACCCCUUGUGUGUUGAGAAUCACGUGUCCAUCCAUAUAGUAGCAACGUGGACCACCGGAUACGCGAGGCGACAACACCCUUAACCUAUUCUUGAUUGAAUCCUUUUAAUUCAGACACAACUCACGGAUUUAAUUCAUCGUGUCUGUUUUAACAUAAUUAUAACUCAACCAAUAAUAUAGUAGUACUAUGAUUCAACCCAUAUAUCACCCACUUAUUCUUAUAUAUGGUAAUAAAUUUUAAGAUUAGAAAUAAGGUUGUUAUUAAUAAGUUAUAUUAAUUUUAUUAUUUUUUAGAAACCAUUUAAAAAAAAUAAAUUAUUUUACAAUUUAUCCAAAUUUAGAGUUUGAAUGAGUUGCAUGAGUCAAAAUCAUAUUAAUUGUAUCAUACUUAUAUUUGGAUUAUUAGUUUUGUAUCAAGCUAAUAUAGUUUAAUUUAACUUUGUCAAAUAAUUUGUCCUAUCAUAUUACCUAUGUAAUAAAUAAUUCAUAUUUGUGUUAAAAAAAACUAAUAUUAUUAUUAACUGAAUUAAUUAAAAAAAACCUUUAAUAUGAUAUAAAAUUUGCAACAUGACUUAGAGUUUGUUUAAUAGUAUUUUAAAAAAAUAUUUUAACAUAAAAAAUAAACUAUUUUUGGAGAAAAAUCAUAUAGUUUUCAAAAAUUAAAAAUAUUUUUUAAAAAAUUAAAAAAAUCACUUGUAAUAUUUUAUAGAUGAUGCACCCAAAAGCACUUCUAAAUAAGGCAUUUUAACUAAAAACACCUCAGAUAUAAAUGUUUUCAAAGACACCCUUAAUUACCAUUCUUCGUAAUAAUGCCAAGUUUUGUAAGAAGGCAUGAAUUUAAAUAUUUCUUCUUAUUUAUUUAUUUUCCUAUUUAUUAAUGAAACUUACAUGUGAGCCAAAAAUAAAGGGCACAUGGGAUAGUGUUUUACUAUAUAACUCUGAUACAAAUAAUAAUAAUUGUGUCAAAAAUAUAAACUUAAAUACUACUUAAUUAUUAAACAUAUAACACAUCGUAUAUCUUAUUUAACCCAUUUAAUAAUCAAGUUAUUCUAUUUAAUAAUUAGGUUGGGUUAGGUCUUAUAAAUGUCUACAUGAUUAAUGCCUCAACUAAAUAUGUUUAUGAUUUAUUAGACUUAUUUAUUUAAAAAAAAUCAAAUAUAGGUGAAAUAAUUUAAAAAUAUAAUUAAGUUAAUAAUAAAAUUAUUAGACGGAUCAAUUCUCGUAAUAUGGAGGUUGAUCUAAAAAUUACUUAUUUAUUAAAGGAGUGAUGUAAAUUAAUUUGAAUUUGAUUUAAACUCAUUUAUAUUCAAUUUAAAUUCACGAAAAACAUUGAUGUUAAGCUUUGUGACCCCUAAUCAAUAGAUUAAGGAGGAAAAUUAAUACCAAUAAAUGACAUAACAAAAUAAAAAUAAUAGGAAGUUAGAUAUGGUAGAUGGUACAAUGAAAGUGGAAAUUGGAAACAAAAAUUGUAAAUUGACUAUCUUGACCCUCCUACAAAAAAAGUAGAGAUACUAGAAAUAGGAAGGCGAAUCGCUGGUAAGCUCUUGCUCACUUCCUUUGAUGGUGAAUUUCAGAGUGGGGAAACCAACGGUAAAACCAUCACGCCAAUCACCAUGUCCUCUCCUUCCGAUUCUCAGGGUCCGGAUGAGGCUCUCAUCACCCAAAACCCUAGCAUGCCCACUGAACAACAUCCACAAUCUCAAGCUCAAACUCUCUCCCUUAAAACCCUAACCCUAGAAAUCGCCGAUCCCCAAAACCCUGAACCAAGUGAACAGUCACACCCUCAACACCAGCAAAUCUCUAUCGAAGAUGAUCAAGAUGACCCAGAAGGUACGUCUCCUUCUUCUUCAUCAAUUUCCGUUUCACACAUCACCAUCACCAUCCCCGACUCAUCUGCCCCUCAAAAUCCUCCUCUCACCACGCCCACCAAUGCUCGCCGUUCACUCAAGCGCAAGAAGGGAGCUCAGUACAAGCGACGUACUGCUCUUGAAAAAUUUCAGCAGCAGAAACUUGGUGCACUUAUUAAAACCCUAAAUCCGAUCCCCUUUGUGCCUAAUAAAACCCUAGAUUUUUCCAAGCAUGAGUCGCUGCUUAAUCGUCUUGGGUUGUGGGAAUUUGUUCAUAUUGAGUUUGAUCAGACCAUUCGCACAGAUCUUCUUGCGCAGUUGAUUGCAAAUUAUACGCAGAGUGCGAGAGGCAGUGUUGUUAAUGGGGCUAAGAUUAAGGUCAAUAGGGCUGAUCUUGCUCGGGCGAUGAAGUUGCCGGUGAAGAAGGAGAAGGUCAGUGCAUCGUCGGAGGGUGUCUUGGAGGCUCCGGCGGCAGAGGAGGCGAUUGGAUUUAUUGAGGAUUUGGUCUCAAAUUGGGUGCUUUUACACGAGGAUACGUGGAUGAUGCCAACGGAGGUUUUGACUUGGACGCGGGUGAUUAAGGAGGGGCACCCGGAGAAGGUAGAUUGGGCGGGGUUGAUAUGGUUUAUGGUGGAGAAGGAGUUGCAUGCAGAAGAAUUGGUGAAUUGUUACUAUGCUUCACAUUUGCAGUGUUUGAUAAGAGCACAAAAGGAGGAGCUUUUGAGGGCAGAGGCUAAGGAUGAGGUUGAAGUGAAGGAGGAAGAGGAUGGUGGUGAUGUGGAGAUGGGUGAGGAGGGUGAUUUUCCAGAUCGUGAAGCAGAUGAUGAUGAUGUGAAGAUGGAUGAAGAUGUGAAGUUGGAUGAAGAGGUGAAGAUGGAUGAAAAUGUGAAAAUGGAUGAAGAUGUGAAGAUGGAUAAAGAUGUGAAGGUGGAUGAGUAUGUGAAGGUGGGUGAGGAUGUGAAGGUGGAUGAAGAUGUGAAGGUGGAUGAAGAUGUGAAGGUGGAUGAGGAUGUGAAGGUGGAUGAAGAUGUGAAGGUGGAUGAAGAUUUGAAGGUGGAUGAAGAUUUGAAGACUGUGGGCUUGGAUGAUAUUCAAGGACAUGAAUUGGAGGAACAUAAUAUUCAAUUACGUUUGGGUCAAGAUGGCGUUGGGAAGGAAAAGGUAAAGGAUGAGGACAAUAUGGAUUUUGAUGAGUGCAAGGAGCAAGAACCUGGGCAGUGGUUCUUGGACGGGAAGAAUGAUGAUAAUGAACCAUACUUGCGUCCUUGUACUCUUGAUGACCUUAAGGGUUCAGUUUGUGAUGAGGAAAGGAAACAAGAAGAAGAUGAAGAAGAAGAAGGAGAAGAGGAAGAAGAGCAGGAUCGUGGUUUUAAUCUUUCACCAAAAUGUGGCAAUUUAGCUGGUCUAUCCUCGGAGAACCUUAUUCACGCAAUGGAAGCAUCACAAGUUCCUUUUAAUUCAUCAGUGCAGCUUCGUGAUCAUUCUUCCAUGGAGCUUCUCUCAUCAAGGGCUGAAGCAAAUAUGAUUCCAGGGGGUCCAUCCAUUUUCAGUAACUCUAGCAAGAGAGAUAUCAGCCAUGAACAUGAUAUUUCUCAUCAAUCUCUAAAUAGUAGUCAUAAGAGGUUGAGGAGUGACUUUGACAUGUGUAUGGAGCAAAUAGAGCAUUGGAUGGGAAAGGCCAAGAUGCUUCAUCAGGCAAAAGAACAAGCUUAUGCUGAAUCAAGUAUGAAUCAGCAAUUCUUAAUUGGUGAGCUGCAACAGCGAGACAACCUGAUUGAACUUUUGCAGAAAGCCAAGUUUGAGGAGUUUCAGAAAAGAGAAGUGGAAACAUACCGGCGGGAUCGUGAACUUUUUGUGAUGGGAAAUCUCUUAGAGAGCUAUAGGAAGGCUUUAAGAGAAACACAGCGGGCAUUUUCUGAAUAUAGAGCACACUGUCCACUUCCUGAUGAGCCACUUUACAAUGAUGUUGGUGAGACAGGGGGUGUUGUUCUGAGCACCAUGGAAUUGGAAAAACAACGUCGGAGGCAGGAAGAAGAAUAUAGGAUGAACUGUUUGCUGGUGGAACAAAAGAUUAAGGACUUUGAGGUUGUGUGGUUCAACAAAUUAGAAUUGCAUCUGAAUGUGGUUCAUAUGCUUGAUAGCAGGUUGAUGGAUGCUGAGAAGCAUGUAAAACUUCUCAAGGAAUCAUAUGCUAAACGGAAGGUUUCAGAAACAUCAGAACCUGCUCCAAAAGAAUGAUAAAUCGUCUAAAAGGUUUUUCCGUUUGGAAGUUAUCAAAAUGUCAGUGAAGGACAAAUCAUAAUUGUAAGUCCUCUUUAGAUUUUGGUGUAGCUUUUUGUAUCCUUAUAUAAUACAUGUGAUGCUGCAUUCAAAAUAUUGCUGAACUACAGACCAAUACGUAACUGUACUACUAACUGGAAAUUUGCUUUAUGGUCUCUGCUGAUCUUUUGUCUUUUAUCAGUCAUAUUUUUUUUCCUGGGCCAUAUUAUCAUAUACAUUUGAAACUGAAACCCAAGUGUGCCUUGGCCUCCUCUGUAUGUCUGUGGAUUAUGGUCAAUUUGUGGAUUCUAUUCGGAGUCCAUUUGGUCAUUGAUUGAUUGGAAUAUUAUGGAGAGCAAAUAUCUUUCAACUCUAUAUUCAGUUCUCUAAAAGCUAAUCCAAGUGUAUAGUACAGAUUCAGAUGGUGCAGGAAAUGGAUAUGCCAACAUGGAAAAUUCUGGAGAAGUACAUGGACAUGAGAGGGCACUAUCCACAAUGUUUUAAUAUAUAUACAUUUGCAUAAGUUAGGCUUGAAUUUCUUUUCCUUUGUUUUGAUCAUGUUUGUAAUUAGGGAAGCAUUACUCAUCCUUCUCUUGUUUAUUCCUUUUUAAUGGAAAUGUUUUUAUCUUUGAUCCAACAAAUAAAAAAUGAAAAAUCUUUGCAAAAGUUUGGUUAAGUUUGUUAAAGUUUUUUUAUGAUUUUUCUUUGAAACUAUAUUUUUUUUAUAUGCAAAGAAAAGAUUAAUUCUAUUAAAAGCGCUUAGCCAAAGAGUACACAAAAGUAUGCACAAUGUAUACAAAGAUGCUUAAAAGCUAAACAAAGCAAAGAGAGACACAAAAAACAAUAUUUUCUCCAUACUUAGAGCUCAAUCAACCAAUGAAGUCCAGUAUGGACAUUGAGUAAUAACCUAUAUAAACUCCUAUGCACCCCAAGAAAUUAUACAUAAAGAUUGUUUGUUGCUUGAUCCCCAUUUUCAAUAUUUUCAAAAGCUGUCCAAUUUCUCUCAUUCCAUAUUGUCCAAAAUAAGCACAAAGAAGUUGAUGUCUAAGCUUUCUUCCUCCUUUUUUCUGAUAAAGGAUACAAGCAACCCAAAAGGACACUUCUAACUAAGGAUUGCAUCACCCGCUUUAUACCAAAAAGGGCAUAAAUGAGUUCCUGCAAAAUGACUGCCUUUGAAACUAUACUCCUUUUUCUUAAGUGGAAUGUUGUUUCAUUUGCUAGCAUUCAACAAGGCUUCUGUUGUCCAAACCUUUGAAGCUCCUAAAGUCCUAAUAGCAAGGAAAAUGAUAAAACAUUUAUUUGAAUGUUAUGUAGAUUUCAGACUUUUGAACCCCCUAAAGUCCCUAAUAGUGAGUUCUUGUGCCAUUUGCUAUUUGGCUCUAGGUUCAUGCUGAGCAUUUUCUAACUUUUAAUAAUUGUUUUCCUUUCUUAUUCUGUAUUGAUGUUUUUCAUUUCAUCCAAUUCAGCCACAAUAGUAAAAAACUUAAAAUACAUUAUAGAAUCAUAUGAUCUCCUUGUGGACUUAAGGUGUGCCCCCUUUUUCUAGACACCUUCAAUUUGAAUUGUGGUGUGGCUAUCCAAAAAAAAAAAAUUAUAUAUACAUAGAUAAAUAGAUAGAUAGAUAGGUAUCAAACAAAGACAUUGAUCCUUUACUUAUGUACAUGCUAACCCAAGCUGAAAAAUUACAAAGGAAUGUAAGUUUUAUUUUUUGAUCAGUUUGCCCCUUAUUUUCAAAAGCUUUUUAAUUUCAUCCCUGCCAAAUUGUCCAAAAUAUGCAAAGGGGGGUGGUUUUCCACACAUUUUUCCUUUCCUUCCCUACAAAGAAACCAUGCCAACUAAACAAGAUAUCUUUCACCAAAGAAGGGAUCGUCCAAACUACAUCGAAUAAGGAGAACAAGAGAUGUCAUAGAAUCCUUGCUUUAGUGCAAUGAAGUAGAAUAUGGUCAAUAGACUCCCCCUCAAGUUUGCAAAGAAAUCAUCUAUUUGCUAUCAGUCGCCGUCUUUUGGAGAUUAUCUAAAGCCAACUUUUCCCCCAAUUGGCUUCCCCCCCAAAAAAAAGCUUACUUUGGAUGGGACCCAUGAAUUCCAGAUAAUGUUUGUUGGAAAGUGGAUUACCUUCCUCAUUUCCUAGACUGAAUAGAAAGGUUUGAUUGAAAUAGACCCUUUUUAGCAUCCUUCUAGAUCACCUUGUUAUUAUCUUCCCUUCUAAACGUCUUCAUUAGCAAGUGGCAGUGUGGAGAAAAAGGUCUCAACAAUGUCCAACUUGUAAUCAUUAAAGUGCUUGGUGAAACACAUAAUCCAAUGACCCCCCGCUCCUAAGUCUUCACAUAAAUUUGUUGCCCAGGCCUCCUUUGACAAACCUAACAUGGGCGCACGCACAUAUGCAUAGAUAUAGCGUACACACUCACUCACACACACACAUUAUAGAGAGCCCUUUCAUUUUGAAUUAAAGAAUUAAGAAUGAAUCAAAUCUCCCCAAGUAGGUUUGGAACCUACGACCAAUCUGUUAAUAGUUGACUACUCUGCCACUGAGCUACUGAGGAACAAAGAAAAGAUUAUAGGAAGUACUAGUUUUAGAAUCUAAUUGAACCAAAAGGGUGUGGCGUUUGGGUGUUUGCUCUUUCGAAGGAAAGAGAUUGCAACUGAGGUGGCCUUGAAGUUGGUUGUUUCUGAGAAAGGGCUUGUACAAAAGAUUUUGGGUGAGACUGGUUGGACUGUCAUUGCCCUUGUGGGGUAAGGACUUCUUCAAGAGAGUGGGUGAUACUUGUGGAGCUUUUGCAGCUAUGGAUGUGGAUAGCCAAGAGAUGCCAUUUACAAUGGACUAGAAUUCUAGUAAGCUCCAACAGGAGGGUCCCUAGUCCCUAUGAUCUUGCAUGUGGUGGUAGGGUUUUUAGUCUUCGUUGUUCAGUUAUGGUGGGAGAUCCCACCAUGGGAGUUGGUGUUUGUUUCGAAGGAGGGUUGUAGGGUAAUGGAGGUCAAGGAUGACAACGAGGGCAUAGUUUUAAAAGGUGUGCUUUAAGUGCACCUAGGCUCAAGGCACGACCACUCCCUAGUUAUAAUGCCUCUCUUGCCAAGACAUGUGCCUUAUUGAAGAGGCAUGCCUUAUCAACUUUGCUAUUCCUUUUUAAAUGCUAGUCUAGAAAUUUCUAGUUGUGUAUUGAAACUUAUAUAAUUUCAUUUUUUAUUUAUUAAAUGCUUCUUUUAAAUGUUUGGAAUCUUAAAUUUUUUAUUGAUUAGAUUAGAUUUGAAUCAUAUUUUAUAAGAUUGAUAUGCAUCCCAGGUCGCAUUUCACUUCACUUAGACACACACCUUGUGUUGCACCUUGUUCCUAAGCCAUAAGAGACUUUUGCGCCUUAGGUGCACCUUGCGCCUUUUAAAACUAUGGGUGAGGGAAGGGCACACACAGAGUGAAGUGGAGUUAGAGGUUGGGAAGCGUGCAAAAAGUUUGGGGCAGUCUAAGGUGCUUUUGCGUGCAACCCAAGUUGCUUUUACAUGUUGCCCAAGUUUCAGAUGGCGCAAUUUUUUCUAUCUACACUAGAGCUUUGGAGGCUAGUGGAUAGGUUCGGAGGAUAGUCUCUAAGCCUCCUUGUUUGGCUUGAGUUGGGCUGGUAGGCCAAGCAGGUUCAAGGCCUCUUUCUCCUAUAGCUUGAGUUGGAAGGCCUUGAGUGCUUUAGGCCUUGCUCUUUGUCUAUUGACCUAGACCAACCUGUGUACUUAUGUUGUGCUUCCUUUUGUUGAGUACUUGUUAAGCUCCUGUUAGAUUCAAUUAUUGUUUGCCUAUAAAAUGCAGCACAGAAUAUAGAGGAGAACAUGCAUAUUUUGACCCUUUUUUUGUGUAUUUUGAGAAAAUUAAUUUUAUAUUUCAUUUUUAUUUGAAGGAUUCUUUUACUACAAUGUGGGGAGAUGUUAUUACAUGGUUAAAAAAAGUGUUUAAAUUUUGUUUCUUUCUUCUGCCUCCCCUGAUAAAAAUCUUCCAUGGCAUGAUAUUUAUUUGUGAUCUCUGCAUUGAGGAAAGUUUGACCAUCACAUCUUUUCUUCCUUAUAUUUGUCAGUUCAUGGAGAAUUCUCUGUUGAAAAGUUGGAAAUUGGGAACAAGUUGUAGCAACACAUUGAGCAUGAUGUAACACACAAUGACAACUAUAACCUGAUGUCCUCAUAUUUGCUAUACCUUUGGGUGCAUUGUUUCUUACCAUCCAAUAUGCUGUAGUAGAAAGUGUUGACUGGCUAGCAUUUUGUUUCUUACUAUCCCGUAUGUUCAUGUUUGAACAAAAGUUAUUUGUUGGAGCCUGGUGUUGGUUUUACUAAUUUAUAUGUUAAUUUUAUGAAAAUUGAACAAUAAUAUAACUUCCAUUAAUAACCUCAUGUGAGUGUUAUUAUUACCUUCCAUUUCUUGCUUGGACUGGUGAAUUAUGAAAUAAGUGAUAAAAACCAAAAUAGUUUUUGUUUGUUGUGUUUUGUUUAAUCUACUGGAACAAUUUCCAGUUAUCUACAUAGUGGGGCCAAACUAGCUGUGGCUGAGUGUUUUUUGCAGGCUAAUAAUGGGUGAGACCCAGGAUAGACUCUGAGAGCACAAGCCCUUGAGGUAGAUUAGUGUGGUGGUCAAUAAAAGCUGUUAUGCAAUGUUGCUCUUAUGUUUAAACAAAACAAAUUCCAACCCCAUUUUCCCCUCCACCUCUCCCUCCCCUUGCAAAACUCAAUUAGGGAUCUCAGACUCUGUUCCUGUCACCAGUUCAAUCUGGGGUUUUAGCUUAUGCUGGAAUCUACUCAACAUUCAUUAUACUUGGAUUAUAUUUAUGCUAUAUAUAACCUUUAUUGUGGCCUGACCUGCUCUGUAAUUUAGUACUUGUGGGGCAAGAAAGGACUUUGAAUUUCUUUGAAUUUUUAUGAUGUUGGACAACCUAACUCUUCAUAGUUAUCUUAUGAGCAUGUGCCACUGGAGGAAAUUGGUAUUUGUUUAAGGACCUAGACAAUUUUGCAUAUGUCGAGCUACUCUUUGUUUAUAAGAUUUACCAUGAUGUAGCAUGUCAUCUGGGUCUUUGGAGAGUGUUUGAUCACUAUAUUAUGCCAUCAUGUGCCAGUGAUUUCAUUUUAGAAUAUUGUUCCCUCAAAGAGUUUUUCCUUCCAUCAUGCAGGUUAGCAUUAGUAUUUUAUGAAUCAGCCAUUCACCCCUUCUGUGCUGCCAAGCUUUCAAGUUAAUGGCCUUUUCGGCCUGCUGACCUCGCAGGGUUUUGGAGUGGUUGAUGAUAAUCAUGUCACAGCAAUUUGUGUUCCGAAUGGAAGAUGGAUGAGCAUACUUGCCACUCAGUUGAUCAUUGCUACUAGCAGAUUAAAUAUGUUGUAUAGACCUUGAAGUAGAAUUCUGUCUAGGAUGACCGACUUUAAUCUUAAAAAGGUUAUUUCUUAUAUAUUUUGUAUGUGCUUCUUCACCCUGCAGCAAUAUUUGUCUCCUUUUUUCCUCCAUUUCUAUCCUUAAAACGCAAGAAACAAGUUGUUUAAUGGUGGAGGUCCAAUAAAAAAAUAAAAAAAUAAAAUCAAUUUUAAUAUUAAAACAUCUGGCAUGAGCAAGAAAGAAAGAAUCAUACAUAAACUGAUAAAGAAUUUCAAAACUCAUCCCCUAGAUGUUCUUGGGAUCCAUAACAAAUACAGUUGGCUGUCAAAAUUCUUACUUUCUUUUUCCCACACCUCGGCAAUCAAAUGAGGAUGAACUUUCCUGGAAAUUGACCCUUAGAAUAGAUCUAGAAAGCACAGGGAGCAAAAAAAAAGCAAUUUUUUUGGUUUUUCUUGGGGGUUUUGCAUGGAUUUUCUCGGAAACCAAACAAGGAUGAAUUUUCCUGGAAAUUGAAUGGGGGCGGUGGCGAGAACAGAUCCAGAAAGCGUAUGGAACAAAAAAAAAGCAUUUUUUUUUGUUUUCCUUGGGGGUUUUGCAUGGAUUUUCUCAGAAACCAAACGAGGAUGAAUUUUCCUAGAAAUCAAAUGGGGGCGGUGGCGCGGUGGCGAGAACAGAUCCAGAAAGCGCAGGGAGCAAAGAAAAAGCAAUUUUUUUUUGUUUUCCUUAGGGGUUUUGCAUGGAUUUUCUCGAAAACCAAACGAGGAUUAAUUUUCUCACAAAUCGAAUGGGGGAUGGAGACCCCUAGAACAAAUCCAGAAAGCACAGGGAGUAAAAAAAAAAAAAAGCAUUUUUUUUUUUUUUGUUUUCCUAGGGGGUUUUGCAUGAAUUUUCUCAGAAAUCAAAUGAGGAUGAAUUUUCCCGGAAAUCGAAUGGGAGAUGGAUUUUCUUGGGGAUCAAACGGGGAUUUUUUUUUGCUUUCAUUGCCGCCGCCCACAUUCGAUUAUUGGGAAAAUUCAUCCUCUGUUGAUUGCCGACAAAAUCCAUGCAAAACCCCCAAAGAAAACCAAAAAAAAUUGUUUUUUUUGCUUGCUGACAGGAAAACCUAAAGGAUAAUUUUGGAAAUAAAAAUUUGAACAGUAAAUAGUACAUGAAACCUAUAAUAUUUUUUUUAUUACUCUCAUAUUUAUAUGGAUUUCCAAAAUCAGAGCAUAUAAACACAACUUUCCCAAAAUAAAGCACGAGGUAGCAGAAAUAAAUUGUUCUGGGCUUUAUUUCCUGUUGGCCCAUUUAGGAAAGGAGGAACGCAUAAAAAAUGUGAUUGUCGGGUUGAGGGUAGCUGGGUAGGCGUUGUUGGGCCUUCGGAGUCCCGGCCCGUUAUCCUUCCACCGAAGAGAGCGGGAAGUGAACGCUGCUCUGUGAAACCAGCCUCACGCGGUGCCCUCCAUCUCUAAGAACCCUAAGACCCAGACUUUCGCCCGGAUCGCGGGGCUCAACUCCCCACUUGGAAUGGGCGAACCAGGCCAAUUACCCCAUCAGGCCUUACCAACCCAGCCAGACCAAUCUCCAACCACACUGAUGCCCUCGCUUGAGUCACAAACUCUCGCUACUGAGUUCGGCAGAUGGAUGUCUACACCACAGAUAUUUUAAAGACUUCUUUUCUUGUAUUUCUUUUCGAUGUGGGACGACCUAGAGAAUUCCUGACUCAUUCUUCACCACACAUAUAGGGAAAGCCAAAAAGGGAUAUGAUAUGCUGCCUUUCUUGAACUUUGCUUACAAGAUCGAAAGUAAUUUUCCUUCGACAUGUGUGGCCUGUAUCAAAGAAUAGGAAAAUUAACGCAUAAUUAACGCAUCCUCCAUCCCCUCGAUGCAAAGGUGUUUUGGUAGUCAAAACCUACUUCUCCAAUACUGGGAAAAUAUGUUUGGCUUCAUUAUUCUCAUAAUUCACUUGGGGAAAACCAGGGAUCCAUUUUUACCUUCCAGGCCUAUGAAUGCUUUGUGCUUCUUUCAAUGGGGACAAGAACAACCAUUAGGAAUUUAUCACACAACAAUGCUCCUAAGUCCUAUGGUGGCCUCUAUCAGUGGGCAACAGUUGCUAGAUUUUGAGGGCUUAACCAGUAGCUUCAAUUUUAAGGAGGAGACAUUUUGCUCCACAACUCAUUUACUGGUCCUUAUUGUGGUUGGGAAGAUUUACAGAGAUCUGAGGUCUUGGUCAGAAGAAUUGGGCUUCUUCUUUGUGAAGGGAGUAACUCUAACAAAUCCUCGACUACAUUUAGAAUUUGUGAAUAUCUGAGAUAUAAUCAUCUGGGAUGAUCCAAUUGCUUGUGGAAUUACCCCUUUAGUAGGGCUGUUUGUGGAAUUAGUCAUUUCAUCAAGUUAUACAGUCUGUCUCACCAGCUUACUCAACCAGGAAUGCCUUCAUCCACAGACAAAGUUGAAACGCUGAAGAGCGCGGAGAACACGAGUUGGGUCAUUUUUUAUGUUUUCACCCAAAAAACAUCCAGAGAGUGUAUUGAGGGGAUGACUAUCCUCGAGCCAGUCAAGCUCUCAUGAGCAGGGAGAUACUGGUGGACUUUCUUGAAGUUCCAUGUGUUAAAAAUGUUCCUUGCCAAAUAUUGCAAUGAUUUUGGUACUUCGAACAGUCAUUCAAAUUUGGAGGUUUCGGAUGUGAAGCAAAUUCAGGCUCUUCCAUUCAUCUCUGUAUGGUUUUUCCAAGGGUGCUCUGGGGCUUCAUUUCUAAAAACAUCUGAGUGAAAAUUUGUGAGAGCUAGAGAAUCCAGUGGUCUCCUCUGCCUGCAUGAAGAUAUAUAGUUUGAGGAUGGAUGACUUCAGGGGGGUUCUCUUUUGUGAUCAUCCAUUUUUUUCUCUAAAUAUUCCACCAUGUUUACUAAACCUGAGCUGUUUUGAGGUCCAGUCCACCAUUUUUGUCACCACAACAAUUCUUCUCGGGGCUCAUUUAAUUCAUCAUACAUAACUGCUAUAAGAGAGACUAACUCAUACAAACAAAGGUAGUUGGGAGUCUCCUGAUCACAACCCUUCAACAAUGAAGGUUAGACAACCGACUGUUUUCUCUAUUAUACCAAAAUACUAAACCUUUUUAUAUAACAACUUUUGUUAAGAAAAAUAAGAAUAAGUUUCACUACAACUUUUAUAGUACUUUGGGUUAGUCUGGACACAUGAAAAUUAUCAAAACUAAGCCAAAGUGGAUUACUUGUUACCUAUAUUCUAAAAUGAAAUUAUCAAAUACUCGAAAGGUUUUUUACUUUAUCAAUUCAAGACUUGGGGUUUCACAAUUCAACUCUAGGAAUAGAACCCUAGAGUGAACAACAGUUUUUCCUUUAUGAUGAUCUUAAGGUUUUAAUGUAUAAUGAUGGAUUGAAAUCAAUCUAAGUUCUAUAACUUAGAGUUGCAUUCCAACCCUAAUUUAUGGUUCAAUCCCGAUACCUAAUUAUCAUCAAAUAAAUGAAACUUUACUACUCUUGUAGAUUUAUUGUACAAUAAGUGAUGGGAGAAAUAACAUAAAUAACUAUGGAUCAAGAAUUUCUAGUUUCCAUAUUGAUAUACUGUAUCAUCUCCUAAUUCAAAUUAUCUUGAAGAGUUUCUUGUUUUCAACAUUUUUACCUUAAAUUUUUAAUAAUGUCAUUACUAAUUCCUUUUUCCUAUUGUUUCUCUUUUAGAUUUCUAACCUUAGAUUUUCAUAUUUCACAUCCCAAUAUGGCAUUUACCCUCUCAUAGUGGUAUUGUCACUCACACAAUUUAUAGAAAAAGUUAAAACAUUAUUCUUGAAUUGAAGCAAACCUCAAGAAUCUUCAAUGCUCUCUCCAAAACAGUAAAGAAUGAACUAAAAUCCCUACUAACCCUAAAAUGUAAAAAGACAAACUAGUCACACGGCAUACCCAUAUAUAUUGGCCAAAAUAUUAAAAAAAAAAAAAAAAAAAAAAAAGUCCAUGAAUUUUCUAAAAAUAACAUUAUAUCUUUGAAUAUUGAAUCAUUCAAAUUCUUCUUGGGUAUAUAGUAGAUGCUUGGGAGGUCUAAAGAUUGAAAAGUUUGUAGGAUUUGAAGGACAUAUUUCAGAGCUGGGGGAGCCAAGUUCGGUUUCAAAACGUGGAGUUCAAAAUAUUAGAACUAAAAAUUUGGAGGAGUUUGAUGGAUUCCAUAUUGAUAUCAUUUAAUUCCUAUUGGCGGCCCAUUUGAAAAAGAGCAGAAAAAAUGUGGUUGUCGGGUUGAGAGAGGCUGGGUAGGCGUUGUUGGGCUUGAAGGGUCCCGGCCCGUUGUCCAUCCACCGAAGAGAGCGGGAGGUGAACGCUGCUCUGUGAAACCAGCCUCACGCGGUGCCCUCCAGCUUUAGGAACCCAAACACCCAGGCCUUAGCCCGAAUAUCGGGGCACAACUCCCUACUUGGAACGGGCAAGCCAGUUAAAUCACCCCACCAAGCCCUACCAACCCAGCCAGGCCAAUCUCCAACCACACUAACGCCCUCGCUUGAGUUACAAGCUCGCGCUGCUGAGCUCGGCGAUUUGUUGUUUACACCACAGGUAUUUUAAAGAAUUGUUUUCUUAUGUUUAUUUCCGAUGUGGGACGGCUUAGAGAAUUGCUGACUCAUUCACUCAAUCCUCGCCACAAUAGGGAAGCCAAAAGAGGGUAAGAUAUGCUACCUUUCUUUAACUUUGCUUACAAGAUUGAAAGCAAUUAUCUUCCCACAUGUGUGGUCUAUAUUAGGAAUUAUGGGGAAGAGUCUGUGUGGAUUGGCGUCAUUCCUCUUGAUUAAAGCAUUCUCCAUCCCCUCGAUGCAAGGUGUUUUGGUAAUCAAAACAUACUUCUCCAAUACUGG